rnacentral:rRNA from 1 species
GAGUUGCUCCUAGUACGAGAGGACCGGAGUGAACGAACCUCUGGUGUUCGGGUUGUCACGCCAGUGGCAUUGCCCGGUAGCUAUGUUCGGAAAGGAUAAUCGCUGAAAGCAUCUAAGCGAGAAGCCUCCUUCAAGACUAGAUUUCCCUGGGCCUUCGGGCCCUUAAAGAGCCGUUCAAGACUAGGACGUUGAUAGGCAGGGUGUGUAAGCGCUGUGAGGCGUUGAGCUAACCUGUACUAAUUGCUCGAUCGGCUUGACCAUAUUUCAUCAAA